UGCCAGCAGCUCCCCUGCUCUGUGCAGUAGCUGAUCUGAAGCCUCCCUGCAGGUUAACUGACUGCAGAGCUAGGCUUCAGGGCUAGCAAAUGACUCAUGCUGCCUUUUCUGAACCCUUUUACAGGCUGAAAGGUUUUGAGAAGGAAUGAAGGAGACAUCCACCCAUUCUUCUUUCUUGUCCUAAAGUAUGAUGUAUUAUUGAAUGCUUGCCUUGCUUCACUUCAGGGCAAGAAUUCAACCCCUUUAUGUGAAGAAUGCAUCACAAAUUCUAUGAAUGAAGACCUGAAUUUUCCUGAGGAUCUGAAGUAAACCUAUGAGUUUAUUCACAAAAAUUAAUAACUGAGAUUGUUUCUGAUGACUUCUCCUCCAUUACUUUCUUGUUUCAUCAUCUUUGCAAGUCCUUGGGCUAGAUCUUCAGUUGGCAUCAGUCAAUGAAACUCCAUGGACUUUAGAUCCUACCCACUGAGGCAUUUGUUGCCCCUUUGAGUAUAGUUAUUUGAUACAAACCUACUGCCUCACUCUUGUAAAAAAUAAAUAAAUAAAUAAAAGCAA